UUUGCAAUUAUCUUAGUAGGAGUUUUGAGUGCUGAUAGUAGAAAAGAGCCACUUUUCACUGCAUUUGCAAGUAAAAUCCGUGUGAAUUUUAAGCAGGAGCCAAUCUACUCUUCAAAAGACAUCCCACAUCUCUAACUCAAAAUCUCAGUCCCUUUCUCUGGAGCUGUGCUAGUGCCACAUUGCCAUAACUCCACUGCUGCUUGUGUUAGUCAACAUUGACAGAUCCACUUCCCCAGAAGCAGAUCCUGAUCCCUGUGCACGAACAGAUGAGCAAGGUAAGGAGAAGGAAAGGCCCUCACCAGCACCAAAGACAACUUGAAAGUUCUCUGAGCGUUAUCCAAAAGGCUCAACAGUUCUACAGUUCCUUAUGGCUGCCUGAGGACCCACUGGAAGGUCUAUGGACCUUUCUCCACAGCAAAUUUGUCUUGUGAAAAUGUAAGUGUAUUAUCCACAGUUACACUGUGGCAGCUGCAGAGGAAGUGGAAGGUUCUGGGGAAUACAUGAGGGAGAGCUGGAUUAUUGGCUUCAAAACAGUACAGAGCGCUUUUGGAAACUGGAAGUUUGAGUUGGAUGUUACUGCUACAAAAGGUUAUCUGUGAGUCAAACAUAAUGGUAAUUAGUCUGCUAUCUUUAGACCUCAACGCUAACAACGUGAUGGAAUUGAGAAUCCCUGUUCUUUAGAACUGCAGUUUUCCAAGAUGCCAUCAUUCCUACAGAGAAUGUCAGGUUUGCACUGUUGGAGGCUUUCAGAGUUACCUUUAGAAAUCUGUGCACAGAUGCUUUUCUAAGACCAAAUAGGUUCUGCAUUUGGACUUGAAGAGGCUGAGUUCAUCCUUCUCAUCUUGCAGACACUCAGAAUGUCACCUCAAUAUUCUUCUCUUAUUGAAAGACUCCUGAAACAUUCAUAUCUGGGGUUUGGUGCCCAUCUCCACCUCUCCCUGUGGUAGGAACCCCUUUUGUUCCCCAAUGUAAGGGUUAUGUACUCCCUACCCCAGGGGUACUGGCUGCUUUCUCCCUCAUCCUGUCCUUCCCAGGAUUUUCUCCAACCUGACCACUGUUCUGCCUGCUCCAUCCCAUUUUAUGUUCAUACUCACUGCAGUUCUGUGUCAGUGGGUGCAUUUGAAAAUGCCAAAGUCUGACUUUAAACCAUACAGAUUAGCACUAUAAUUUCAGGGGCUUGCCUCCUGCAUGUAUCAAUUUAAUAAGUGGAUUUAUAGUGGAUAAUUUCAAACUGUUAAAGCCCUCUGAGGCUCCUUCUGUCUGGCUUCUGUAAUGUGUAAAGUGACAUAGGGUCACUGAUGCUGUGGAAAUUGGUUUUGCAGUUGAUAGGCUAAUUCAGCAAGAAAUCAGUUCUUGCAGAAACCCAAAGGAAAAUAUUUUAAUGUAGUGCCAUGCUACCUUGCUGACUUCCCAGGAAAGAGAUAAUUAAAACAUUCAAGGGAGUUCCACAUCUCUGGAGAAAAUGCCCUUAUGGAAGGACAAGGUUAUUUUUACCAUGCAGCUUAUUAGCUUCUUUUCUAAAAGCAAAUCAACUGAAUGUAAUGGACAUAAAAUAACAUUUUCACCUGUUCAAGACAAUGAGAAAUGAGAUAUUGUAAAAACUGGGUUCAAUAUAAGAAUAGACUUGUCAUAGUCUCUUCUGUGUCACUCAGCCCAGGUUUCCAGUAACCACUACUGCAAUUUUCCAGGUGAAAACUUCCAUCCAAAUACAUCCAGAGCCAUUAAUAAAUGCAACUGAUUGCAGUGGGGAAUAGAAUUGCAUUGAUGGUGCCCAAGGAGAAGGAGAACCUGCACUCAGUAUGAGUAAGGGGUAGCAAAUACCUUAUUUUGUCAGAAACAAGUAAUUAAGUUAAAUUGAACAUCAUUUCAAUAGUCAAUCUCUAAGAAUAAUCACUAAGAGUUUAGAAGCUCUGUAUUUUUUCCAAACAAUGCACUUAUACUAGGGAAUUACUGAGUGCAAAAAGUGAAACGGCACUAAUAUUUCCUGUAUUAAGAUACUAAAGAAAAAACAAUUUUACCGAGAUAAACUGCUUUAUCUGAGAUGUGAAGAGUAAGCAGAUUAAAACUGAAUUUCCAAGAGACAAUUCUAAAAAGAUCUGUUAUUGUAAAAAUUGGUGUUUUUCAUGAGCUAUUAAAGGAAAAAACCAGAUAUUUUACUCCUUAUCUUUUCAUAAAACAGGUGCAAUACUGCUAUUCCCAAAGGAAAGGCACCAGUUCCAACAUGAGUAGUGUGUGUUCUAGAAUGAAGGAUAAAUAAACAAGAAACUUAAAAGCCUUAAUGUGAAGAUAACAUCAUUAUUUAUAACAGCAUUCAGUGUGUUCAGACUAUUCUGUUUCAGAUGGCCCAGGAAUGCAAAUAUGUGACAUCAUAUCAUUUUUUUGUCAUUAAUGGAAGUGUUUCCUUUGAAGAGUACACUGUUGUUUUCUGUUCAGUCUUUCUGUCAUUAAUACUGAAGUUCUUCUGGCCCAGCUAUCUCUGUAUGUGCAUGUUAGCUAAAGAUGGCUCUCCAGUGUUUCCUAAUACAGGCUUUAUACCAAACAGUAUAUUUAAUUGCAUUACAUUACAUUUUAAUAA